GGUUAAGUUAACAAGGGCGCAUGGUGAAUGCCUUGGCACUAGGAGCCGAUGAAGGACGGGACUAACACCGAUAUGCUUCGGGGAGCUGUACGUAAGCUAUGAUCCGGAGAUUUCCGAAUGGGGCAACCCAGCAGUUUUAAUCAACUGUUACCACUAGAUGAAUUCAUAGUCU
rnacentral:rRNA from 1 species